AACCCGGCCUGGGGGGUCGCACCCGCUUGUACGUCUGCGCAGACGUUCGGGAGAGCGGCUCGGGUACCUGGGAAGUGUCGUCAUCGUAUUUUAGGUCAGUUUUGCCUUUUCGGAAUUACUUAGAGGCUUCUCUGCCGCCUGCUUUGCGUCCCCCGAUCCGGGCGGGGCAUGGGGCCGCGUCGCCGGUGCUUUUGUCGCCGCUUGUUGUCCGCGUCCGUGGAGUGGGUUUGAAUCCUGCGGGAACCCUGAGCUCCGGAGGCGGGUGCUUAGCCGCGGAGCGCGGUGCUGAUUUGUGUCCUGGAGGUUUUAUUGCUCCGUGUCUUGAAAAACAAGCUGCAGGUGCGGGCCUGGGGAAGUCUCCUGUCUGGACAGUGGGAAGAGAGCAACGCAGAAGGACACCGGCUCACUAGUGCCUUUACAUUGGUUUGGCUUUAGCUGUGCAGCACUGAUUGCUUCUGGUGGGAUAAUUGGCUAUGCAAAAGCAGGUGUGGGUGACUCGUCUGGAAAAAGAUACUUCUCAUAUUCAAAGUGAGCUCAUAAAGUCCUGCCCUUCAAGUGCUCAAGGACUUGCAAUUUUGUGAAUGGGGCUGGAAGACCUGGCUAAGAUCUUCUAAUCAUUUCCUACCAACGUUUCGCUGUGUCCCAUUUUGGAAGGUAGAAAAUGGUCCUUCAAGAUGACAUCAACAGGUCCUGCUAAAUUUCAAUAUUACUUGAGUUUUUCGAGUGCCACCUCAAAGCAGUACUUGCCCCAGCCUAGACCAUCAUACACAUUAUAAUGGCAGGCCAUUACAUAUUUUAUUUAUUGAUUUUUAUUGAAACAUAAUCAAUUGUACAUAUCUGUGGGGUAUGGAAUUGGAUUUUAAUACCUGUGUGCAAUAUGUGAUGCUCAAAUUGGGAUAAUCAGUAUAUUUGACAUUAUACAAUGUAAUCGUUCUUUGUAGGCCAUUACAUUUUUAAUGAGCCCAUGGGCUCCCUUGAGAUCACCAAGUGUACCACAUUUGGGGGCCAUAGACGAGAGAAAUUGCUGGGUUGCAGACAAAGGCUUCACAGAGGAGAUGAACUUUGAUAUGGGUUUUAAAGAAUGAAUAGGAAUUCACAGCUAGAACACGGGAUAAGGCGUUCUCGAUAAAUCAGAGCACCUGCAAAAGAAGCCCGCUCGCUCUUCACUAGAAAAAGCCUAGUUCUCCUGUUUAGGUGGCUACAGAGGAGGUAUCUAAUCUCGUCUAAACUGGGCAAAAUGCACGAAAGUUAGUCCACCAGACAAGCCCAACCUUACAUUAAUCAUGCUUUGCUUCGGUUGCUCUAUUAUUGUGUAUAGAUAGUUACAAUUACAGAAAACAGGUGCUGACAUUCUCAAAGGCCCAUCUGAGGGGAAAUUACUGUAUAAAAUCUGACACCUACACACCAGACUGUAAUGAGCUGGACGGGCAGGGUUUGAACAGUGUGAGAUGAUAGAUGGAUGAUAAGAUCAGAACCACCUUUUAGUUAAAGGUUAACUCAAAUUGAAUACUUUGCUUCUUGCUUUUAUCUUGUUCAUUCGUUCACUGGGUUGUAAUCUGUAUGCUGAAACUUUGCUAUGUGCCUGGGCUAUAGCAGUAAGGAGACAGUCAUGGCUGCUGCCUUAAUGGAGCUUAUAAUUUGGCCCCAAACUGAUUUUUGGAAGGAGACAAAGCAAAUCUAAUUCUACCAGUUAGAAUACAGAGCAACAUAUUCAAAGAAUAAUCAGAGAAACACAUAAAAUUCACCAUGCAGAUCAAGCAUGAAACGGAUGAACUCAGAAGGCAGUCUUACUGAUCUCUGAAGCAGAGAAAUGAAGCUAUUUUCAACCUUUGUAGGCCUUUGGCUUUUGGACAUUUGGAGGCUUUGCCCCAAACCACAGUACCAAAUUAAGUAGAAUUUUUGCUUUUAAAAUAUUGAAAACUUUUUUCUUUUUUUAUAACUCAUUUUUAAAUUAUUUGACUAUGAGUAACUCAUUUAAUUUAGAAUUGCCUGUGAGUUCUUGUCAAUCACGAUGCAUAUUUAGAAAUCUUUGCCAAGUGAGAAAAAUCUAAUGGACAAAUUGUUUUUAAGUGUAACAAUUAAUGGGGUUGACAUGUUGUUUCCUAGACAUUUGUCUAAAUGUUUAUUAAUUUCUAUUUUGUAGUUUUUGUGUUUCAUAUUUUGGAGCCAAAACUUUUUCUUUUUCAGCUUUCAAAUAUUCUCAUAGGCCCUGGGCAUUCUGCCUACAAUGUCUAAUGGAUAAAACAGCCCUGCAUACAAAAUUCAGAGUGAAAAAGACCAAUGAAACGAAAUAAAGGUGUCUGUGUAUAUGG